rfam:Callithrix jacchus chromosome X, whole genome shotgun sequence
UCCCUGGUGGUCUAGUGGUUAUGAUUCGGCAUUCUCACUGCUGAGACCCGGGUUCGAUCCCCGGCCAGGGAG